AUACGCGGUUUUAUAGGAAUACAAAGUUCUCUUGCGGAAAAGAGAAAAUGUAAAUAUAACAUUUAAGAAAAUUUGCUUUGUUUCCCCCCAAACUUUAAUUUCAAACAACCCUGAAACGCUUCUUAGAAAAAGCGAAGAACAAUGGCGGAUUUGAGAGAGUACUAUCAAAACGAAGACGAAGAGGAUUCGUUCAUUGAUAUGUUGCACGCUUUGUACUCCAUUUAACUUACUUAUAUUAAAUUAAAUAUAAAUUCCUAAUUACUUUUAAAUCCAUAGGUGCUUACAAAACCAGUGGCCGCGACAGUCUGGUGUUUCUGGUUGAUGGAUCCAAAGAAAUGUUCAUCAAAAGAGCAAGAACCCAAGAAACUUCUUCAAGCAUGUCUACAUCUACCACGCCUACCUGCUUCACCUGGAGCCAAGCAAGAAAGUAGCUCAGUUGGCUGAAAAGACCAUGGGCAGUGGGGAUGUCCAAAUACUCACACUUGAGAGCGUGCGCACAUGACAGGAAGUAAUUGCCCAAGACUGUCCCAGAUCUUAAAAAUGGCAAAACGCAGUACCCUUAAUGCACACUAAAUCCACAUUAUCUCGAAUACCGCUCCAGAGCGCUAUUCAAGGCUUAGUGUAUCCCAUCAUGCAUCAUGUUAAUGGAAAUAAAUCGUGAGACUUUUUACAGAUCUCUUGAGAGGUCACGGAAACCUUUGUAAAGUAUGUGAAAUAUUAAUAAUAAUCAGAAUCAGAAUCAGAAUGAGCUUUAUUGCCAGGUAUGUUUACACAUACGAGGAAUUUGUUUUCGUGACAGAAGCUCCGCAGUACAACAGAAUGACAGCGACAGAACAUAAAACACAUAAUAAAAGAAUAAAAAAUACAAAUAAGUAGAUAGUGAAUGACAAUAUACAAAUGACAAUUGUAGGCAGGUAUAUUACAAAAUGAAGUUAUGUAUGUACAUAUAUAUUGUGUGCAAAAUUUAAGUGUAUACUAAGUAUGUGUGUUAGAUAAAUAAAGUGUGUGUGUAUAUAAAUUAGAUAUUUUAUAUGAUUUGGUAGAAAAACAGUGUUUUUAUUUUUUAUUGGUGCAGAGAUGAGUAGUGGUGAUAUUUAUUUUGUACAACAUUUUUAACCUUAUUUUAUCACUUAAUUAGAAGCACCACAUGUUAAAAUUGUCAUGUUAUAGGGACUACUGAACAGACAUUUAGAAGUUGAUUUUAAAAUGCAAAGUAUUUAAAAUUUGUAUUAAAUUAAACCUAUUUAAACACUUGUGUCCCAUCAGGUAAUGAAAAGUUUGACACACACUUGUGGUCUUCAUGUGGUCUGGUUCUUUUAAAAGAGGACUCAAGUGUGAAAAGACCCUAAUUUAGGAGCUAAGACCUAGUCCUUACACUUAUGUUAUGAAUCACACUUAUUCCUAAGUGUAGAAAUAAAAGCAAGACGACAUCA